rnacentral:lncRNA from 1 species
UGCCACAUAUUGAGUAUCAGUAUCUCACUAAAUGCUUCGAUAGCCACCUAGGAUGACAAACUAUUUUUCCCAUUUUACAGAUGAAGAAAGAGGCUUGGGAAAUAAUUCGCUGUCCAAGAUCAACAUCUAGGAAAUAGUAGAACUGGAUUUUGAAUCAAGUUAACUCCAAGGCUUGGUACUACCUUGCAGGGAUGUCACACCAGACUGAUUUCUACCUAAAGAACAAAAGAACAGGAAGAUCCAAGGAGCGACACUUGAAGGGGAGCUCAUCAUCGUGACCUGUCACUUCACUCGUCCUCAGGCCGACUUUAAAAUUAGGAGGAGACUGGCCAGAUGCCAUGGUUCACACCUG